GGUCCAUCGCCACGUCGCCGGUAGCAAGUACAUCGGCAAUGACCGGUGAUGUCAGGAUAGGACCGAAAUUGAUCUUUUUUUCACAUGUAGAUAGGAACCCGUGGAUCGAUUUUCAACUAAUUCAUCCACGGAGCCGUUUCUGUGAUUACAUUU
rnacentral:snoRNA from 1 species